CAGGCUUGCUUAGCAACAAAACCAUGCAACAGAAGUGUGAGACAGACCCCCAAACAAUGAAACAAUAAUGGCCUGAGAGCCACAUCCUGCAGAAUGAGUUCGGUAAGUUUAGCACAUGUGAUCCUAGGACACAUCAGUGAAGACCCAUUGCAGCCAAGAAUUUAAAAAAAUUUAAAAGACUGAUGCUGAAGCUGAAACUCCAAUACUUUGACCACCUGAUGCAAAGAACUGACUCUGGAAAAGACCCUGAUGCUGGGGAAGACUGAAGGCGGGAGGAGAAGGGGACAACAGAGGAUGAGAUAGUUGGAUGGCAUCACCGACUCAAUGGACAUGAGCUUGAGUAAGCUUCAGGAGUUGGUGAUGGACAGGGAAGCCUGGUGUUCUGCAGUCCACGGGGUUGCAGAGUCAGACACAACUUAAGUGAACUGAGCAGGAAAAAAACCCUCGGCAACCUUAUGUCAGAUCCCAAAAUCUUUCGGAAAUUUUACUGAUUCAUCAAGGCCAAAGUCUGGACUGUAGGCUUCUUGCUUAGAACUCCAGAAGCACUGCUGGUCACAGCCUCCAGGGGAACUCAUAUUGUAAUCUGCUUUCGCUUUGAGGUCUCUUCUGCUGCAUAAUAAAACACAUUUAAUGCAGAAUUUUUUUCUCCCACUUUUUGUAUUCCCCUUGCUAGUGCUCAAUACAUAUUUGUGGACAUAAAGGCAACGUCUCUCCCCACUUUUCUGACUAAAAGAAGCAACUCUUCUGCCUUUUAUGUUUAAUAAUUCCCUAAAAAAGUCUUAAGAGUUGCAGGUUUUCAAUACAGCCUGUUUGCUCAUGAUGCCUGUGGGGAAAGGAGAUGCGCUGAGCAUCUCUUCCAGAUGGAGGUUUGCUUUCCCACCUGCAGGGAGAUCAGGUGAGGUAUCUCCUCUCAGGUAAAGUUCCUCAUAUCUCCCCUAGGCCCCCAGAGACUUCAAGCUUGUCUAACCAAUGAAUGCCUCGGUUCCUUACUGAGCAUCUGGCUGUGAGGGAACUCUUCUUUCAUCCUGUAGAUGUUUCUCACUCAAACUGUCUUCUCCAAUCCUUCAGUAAUCAUUUAAUGCGCAUGUCCUCUGUGUCAUCUUCCUAUUUCAUCUGCUAACAGCUCCUAGCUCAGGUCGAUCCUGUGUCUCUUCCUGAACAAUAAUCCAAUUUGCCCUGGCACUGGGGCUCAGCAAGGAAGACCUAAGCCCUUUAGCCAGACACCUAAGGUCCUAACUGUUUUCCCCAGGGUUUCAGUGUAUUUGCAGAAAAUUUAAAAUAUCAAUACUUAUUUUUAAAAAGAUCUAAAGGUUCCCUGCAGUCUUCUGUCUUUAUAUUAAGAAAAACUACAGAAUUAGAGAAAAAAAAAGAAAAGCAGAG
ensembl:lncRNA